CAUAAUAGACUCUGGGGCCAAUACAAGCACGCCAACGCUUAAUCCAAUUUUCCAUACACUUGUUAUAAGCCUCGACUGGAAUGGUCAUCACUGCCUUUAGCGAAUUUUAUUUUUUUCGUUUUUAUUUUUUGCCAUUCGCUAGACAAUUUCGUCGUAAUAUUCCUAAACCCACGUCUCGUCAUUAGUAAUGAUGCGUUUGAUGAAUGUAGGAUCCUCAGUCCAGUAUUAAGACGAUUCAUUAGUGAUUUUGAGAUCCUUUGCUCUCCCUCUGAGGUCAACAUGAUGUUUUUAAUCACACUCUUUCGACGUUAUCCUCAUUAACAGAAAUUGAUGGUUGCAAUCUCAGUUUCUAUAGUAAGUUCUGUUUUUUAUUAUGCUUCGAAUUUUUGCUCACACUCUUUAAUUGCUUAUGCCUUAAGAUAUGAAUCGAAUUGAAACCAGUCACCUUCAGCUUCCGUUCAAAUCAGCAAUUAAUUCCAGUUAUAUAUGCGGUUACCCUCCAACACAAUUAAUGCAAUGUGUCAAUCAUAUUCAGUAACAUACUUGUACAUAAAUAAAUACAAAUUUCAUGGUUAUAAUUGCAAUCAGAACUUAAUUUAUUUUCGACAAAUAAGCAAUUUAUCUAGCCAAACCACUUGCACGCCUAGUCACAAAUACAAGUAUAUAUAAUAUUAUCAUUGAGGUAUCACGACAUGCUUGCAUUUUAUCCUAGUAAUUCCAUUCCAUCAAAACAAGCGGCAAAUGUCAACGAGAACUAUGUAAAUCAAUUCAUACAAGUGUAGGCGAAGUGAAGCCCUUUUGAUGUAAUACCAUAGCGUAACCAAAUAAUGAAAGGCAUGCAUAAUUCAAUGGCAACACUCAUGCUAAAAAUAUAUAAAUACGAAUACACAUAUUUCAAGUAAUGCCUGCAGGGUAAUAUAGUGGUAAGGACUUUAAGUACACAGUAUCUCUUUUACUCUUAUUUCAGAUGAAUGUAUUUUUGUGGUGAUUCGCAAUGAAAAUAGAGCUUGAUCUUUCGAAGGCGUAUACCUGAGUUUUUAUAUUCGAAAAUCUUAUAAUAUAGUAUAAAUUUAGAUUUUGAAAUGCAAUAGACUUCUGAAACGCAUUCCAUGCCAAAGUAGUGAACUUUUCUUGAGACUUGGGUUAAGUUAGGGUUUAAAGCUUAAUCCUGAGAUAGCGAUCGCAAUUAAAUAGUUAAAGACAAAUCCUCUAAAAAAUCAAAAUAACACCUAAAGAGUUACCUUCUCAAAAAUGAAAACUCGCAAAACAGAAAUCAGAUUUGCAUUGAAAUCGGUGUUAGUUUUUAAUUUUUUUCGAUAUCGUGCGAAUAUUUUGAUAUUAAUUAAAUUAAUUUCUUUACCGAAAUAUGGUCAGAAAGCGGCUCCGGCCAAACAUAUUUUUAUUAACAGAUAGCUAAAGAACUAGUUAACCGAACGCUAGCUAAAAAUAAUCUGAUAUGAUGUUAUCUCCGUUAAACGAUCGACAAGCGCAGCCACUAGUCUGAGAUUAACGAAAUCGCAACGCUCAUAUAAGUGCCUACGAACGCUCUGAAUCUAGAUCUAAAUACAAAACAUACCGAGCUCUAGAAGCUAACAAAGGAAGAGUUCGGUAGAAUAAUGGAUCCAUAUUUAUCUAUAAACCCAGAUUUUGCACCAUUAAAGUUCAAGUAGCUUGAAGGACACGUUACUUGAAAUAUAUUUGAAUAAAAUUAGACUUGUGGUUUUUAUAGAAUUAA